AUGGCUGAACUACAAGAGGCCUUAGAAAACACAGUUUCUUCCUCUCGGGUAGUAUUGUCUGCCGCUCGUAACAGUCUGUCCCACCUCCUGGACCACCUCCUCACCCCCUCAGACCAAGGGUCCAAUCUCACACCCUAUGGUGUGAACAAGGGUACUCUGGUUAGUAGGCUGGGACAGGGCCUACACCGACUCACGGCCAAACAGUUGAGCAGUAAGGUUAGUAGUGGUCUAUAACAAUGUAUUUCAUAGAGAAUAUAUAUAUAUAUAUUAUUAUUAUUUUGACUUACUCUGUUGACUACCUGAGUUCGAGGUUGCCACGGGAACAAGAGUGACAUUCUAGAUUGAAGUCCAGGACUGGAUCAACAGUCCACCAGAAUGGGCACUACAGGAAUUAUUUUGAACAGAGUUAUUUUUGUGUUUUAAGCCGUUUUUAGGAGGACAUUUUGAAUGUUCCCCCCCGUCUCCCAACUGUAACACUGUUUAAACCCCCUAACCUGGGUCCUCUGCUGUUUAACCCCCUAACCUGGGUCCUCUACUGUUUAAACCCCCCUAACCUGGGUCCUCUACUGUUUAAACCCCCUAACCUGGGUCCUCUGCUGUUUAACCCCCCCUAACCUGGGUCCUCUGCUGUUUAACCCCCUAACCUGGGUCCCCUGCUGUUUAAACCCCCUAACCUGGGUCCUUAAACCCCCUAACCUGGGUCCCCUGCUGUUUAAACCCCCUAACCUGGGUCCCCUGCUGUUUAACCCCCCUAACCUGGGUCCCCUGCUGUUUAAACCCCCUAACCUGGGUCCCCUGCUGUUUAAACCCCCUAACCUGGGUCCCCUGCUGUUUAAACCUCCUAACCUGGGUCCCCUGCUGUUUUAACCCCCUAACCUGGGUCCCCAACAGGUUAAACCCCCCUAACCUGGGUCCUCUGCUGUUAAACCCCCUAACCUGGGUCCUCUGCUGUUUAACCCCCUAACCUGGGUCCCCUGCUGUUUAAACCCCCUAACCUGGGUCCUAACCCCCCUAACCUGGGUCCCCUGCUGUUUAAACCCCCUAACCUGGGUCCCCUGCUGUUUAAACCCCCUAACCUGGGUCCUAACCCCCCUAACCUGGGUCCCCUGCUGUUUAACCCCCUAACCUGGGUCCCCAACAGGUUAAACCCCCCUAACCUGGGUCCUCUGCUGUUAAACCCCCUAACCUGGGUCCUCUGCUGUUUAACCCCCUAACCUGGGUCCCCUGCUGUUUAAACCCCCUAACCUGGGUCCCCAUAACCCCCCUAACCUGGGUCCUCUACUGAUUAAACCCCCUAACCUGGGUCCUCUGCUGUUUAACCCCCUAACCUGGGUCCUCUACUGUUUAACCCCCUAACCUGGGUCCUCUACUGUUUAAACCCCCCUAACCUGGGUCCUCUACUGUUUAAACCCCCCUAACCUGGGUCCUCUACUGUUUAAACCCCCCUAACCUGGGUCCCCUGCUGUUUACCCCCCCCUAACCUGGGUCCCCUACUGUUUAACCCCCUAACCUGGGUCCCCAACAGGUUAAACCUCCUAACCUGGGUCCUCUGCUGUUUAACCCCCUAACCUGGGUCCUCUGCUGUUUAAACCCCCCUAACCUGGGUCCUCUGCUGUUUAAACCCCCUAACCUGGGUCCCCAACAGGUUAAACCUCCUAACCUGGGUCCUCUGCUGUUUAAACCCCCUAACCUGGGUCCUCUGCUGUUUAAACCCCCUAACCUGGGUCCCCAACAGGUUAAACCCCCUAACCUGGGUCCCCUGCUGUUUAAACCCCCUAACCUGGGUCCUCUGCUGUUUAAACCCCCUAACCUGGGUCCUAACCCCCCUAACCUGGGUCCCCUGCUGUUUAACCCCCC
rnacentral:lncRNA from 8 species